AAAGCGCGAAAUGUAAUGUGAAUUGCAGAACAUUGUGAAUCAUCGAAUCUUUGAACGCACAUUGCGCCUCCCGUAAAUGGGAGGCAUGCCUGUCUGAGCGUCAUUUAAAACAAUAACCCUUUGGGUUGUGCUGGGACUCGCCCUCGGGCGUCUCCUCAAAGUCAUCGGUCUAAGAACGGACGAGAUCCACUAGGACAGAACGUUUGAAGACCCUAAACUCUCCGACUUUUGACCUCAGAUCAGGUAGGACUACCGCCUGAACUUAA
rnacentral:misc_RNA from 1 species